rnacentral:rRNA from 1 species
CCUACGGGAGGCUGCAGUGGGGAAUAUUGGACAAUGGGGGCAACCCUGAUCCAGCCAUGCCGCGUGUGUGAAGAAGGUCCUCGGGUUGUAAAGCACUUUCAGUGAGGAAGAACGCCUGGUGGUUAAUACCCAUCAGGAAAGACAUCACUCACAGAAGAAGCACCGGCUAACUCCGUGCCAGCAGCCGCGGUAAUACGGAGGGUGCGAGCGUUAAUCGGAAUUACUGGGCGUAAAGCGCGCGUAGGUGGCUUGAUAAGCCGGUUGUGAAAGCCCCGGGCUCAACCUGGGAACGGCAUCCGGAACUGUCAAGCUAGAGUGCAGGAGAGGAAGGUAGAAUUCCCGGUGUAGCGGUGAAAUGCGUAGAGAUCGGGAGGAAUACCAGUGGCGAAGGCGGCCUUCUGGACUGACACUGACACUGAGGUGCGAAAGCGUGGGUAGCAAACAGGAUUAGAUACCCUGGUAGUC